rnacentral:rRNA from 1 species
CUGCUGCCUCCCGUAGGAGUUUGGACCGUGUCUCAGUUCCAAUGUGGGGGACCUUCCUCUCAGAACCCCUACGCAUCGUCGGCUUGGUGGGCCGUUGCCCCACCAACUACCUAAUGCGCCGCAUGCCCAUCCGUGACCGGGGUCGCCCCCUUUGGCCGGCAGGGGGUGUCCCCUCCCGGCAUUAUGUUGUAUUAGGCGGGAUUUCUCCCGGUUAUCCAUCUGUCACGGCCAGGUUGCAUACGUGUUACUCACCCGUGCGCCGGUCGCCGGCGG